rnacentral:rRNA from 1 species
AGCAACAAAUGCCCUGCUUCCAGGAAAAGCCUCUAAGCAUCAGGUAACAUCAAAUCGUACCCCAAACCGACACAGGUGGUCAGGUAGAGAAUACCAAGGCGCUUGAGAGAACUCGGGUGAAGGAACUAGGCAAAAUGGUGCCGUAACUUCGGGAGAAGGCACGCUGACACGUAGGUGAAGUGAUUUACUCAUGGAGCUGAAGUCAGUCGAAGAUACCAGCUGGCUGCAACUGUUUAUUAAAAACACAGCACUGUGCAAACACGAAAGUGGACGUAUACGGUGUGACGCCUGCCCGGUGCCGGAAGGUUAAUUGAUGGGGUCAGCGCAAGCGAAGCUCCUGAUCGAAGCCCCGGUAAACGGCGGCCGUAACUAUAACGGUCCUAAGGUAGCGAAAUUCCUUGUCGGGUAAGUUCCGACCUGCACGAAUGGCGUAAUGAUGGCCAGGCUGUCUCCACCCGAGACUCAGUGAAAUUGAACUCGCUGUGAAGAUGCAGUGUACCCGCGGCAAGACGGAAAGACCCCGUGAACCUUUACUAUAGCUUGACACUGAACAUUGAGCCUUGAUGUGUAGGAUAGGUGGGAGGCUUUGAAGCGUGGACGCCAGUCUGCGUGGAGCCGACCUUGAAAUACCACCCUUUAAUGUUUGAUGUUCUAACGUGGACCCGUGAUCCGGGUUGCGGACAGUGUCUGGUGGGUAGUUUGACUGGGGCGGUCUCCUCCUAAAGAGUAACGGAGGAGCACGAAGGUUGGCUAAUCCUGGUCGGACAUCAGGAGGUUAGUGCAAUGGCAUAAGCCAGCUUGACUGCGAGCGUGACGGCGCGAGCAGGUGCGAAAGCAGGUCAUAGUGAUCCGGUGGUUCUGAAUGGAAGGGCCAUCGCUCAACGGAUAAAAGGUACUCCGGGGAUAACAGGCUGAUACCGCCCAAGAGUUCAUAUCGACGGCGGUGUUUGGCACCUCGAUGUCGGCUCAUCACAUCCUGGGGCUGAAGUAGGUCCCAAGGGUAUGGCUGUUCGCCAUUUAAAGUGGUACGCGAGCUGGGUUUAGAACGUCGUGAGACAGUUCGGUCCCUAUCUGCCGUGGGCGCUGGAGAACUGAGGGGGGCUGCUCCUAGUACGAGAGGACCGGAGUGGACGCAUCACUGGUGUUCGGGUUGUCAUGCCAAUGGCACUGCCCGGUAGCUAAAUGCGGAAGAGAUAAGUGCUGAAAGCAUCUAAGCACGAAACUUGCCCCGAGAUGAGUUCUCCCUGAGACUUUAGGUCUCCUGAAGGAACGUUGAAGACGACGACGUUGAUAGGCCGGGUGUGUAAGCGCAGCGAUGCGUUGAGCUAACCGGUACUAAUGAACCGUGAGGCUUAACCUU